GAUGAACGCUGGCGGCGUGCUUAACACAUGCAAGUCGAACGAAGCACCUUAUUCUGAUCUCUUCGGAAUGAAAAAGUUGGUGACUGAGUGGCGGACGGGUGAGUAACGCGUGGGUAACCGGCCUCAUACAGGGGGAUAAGAGUUAGAAAUGACUGCUAAUACCGCAUAAGACCACAGCACCGCAUGAUGCAGGGGUAAAAACUCCGGUGGUAUGAGAUGGAGCCGCGUCUGAUUAGGAAGUUGGUGGGGUAACAGCCUACCAAGCCGACGAUCAGUAGCCGACGUGAGAGGGUGACCGGCAAAAUGGGGAGUGAGACACGGCCAAAACUCCUACGGGAGGCAGCAGUGGGGAAUAUUGCACAAUGGGGGAAAGCCUGAUGCAGCGCCGCCGGGUGAGCGAUGAAGUAUUUCGAUAUGUAAAGCUAUAUCAGCAGGGAAGAAAAUGACAGUACCUAACUAAGAAGCACCGGCUAAAUACGUGCCAGCAGCCGCCGUAA
rnacentral:rRNA from 1 species